CUUCUAACCCUCAUACCGUUGGGCAGAUUAAUUCACUGGACUGGGCCUCUGUUCCGUGGGAGUUGAAAAGAUUUGACCUGGAAGAAACCCUAGCGAUCAUUCAGUUAAGCCGCAACCCCACCGCCUAUUUUAUUUAGGGAUUCCGGUUCACAAUGGAUGCUGAUCAAGAGAAAGAUUUGCAGAAAUUUCUUAAAAAUGUGGAUGAAAUCUCCAAUUUAAUUCAGGAGAUGAAUUCUGAUGACCCAGUUGUGCAACAGAAAGCUGUCCUGGAGACAGAAAAGAGACUACUGCUUAUGGAGGAAGACCAGGAGGAGGAUGAAUGCAGGACCACCUUGAACAAGACUAUGAUCAGUCCUCCACAAACUGCUAUGAAGAGUGCAGAAGAAAUAAACUCAGGUAAGGACAGCAUCUCUCUUCCCAAUUUGCAUUCUUUAUAGAGGACCAGUUUUGAUUGAUUGUAGCUCCCAGACCCUUAAAUUAUUGACUUUGAGCUUACAAACAACAUGUGAACAAAAACCUACUGAUCAUCCCAUUCUGUUACUAGUGAUCAGCGGGAAUGUCCCUGAGAGGUUUUUCUUUAUUUUCUCUUGG
rnacentral:sRNA from 1 species